UGCCACAUCAGCAUAGACAAGAUACAUCAUCGUUGACGAGUCGUGACAUCCUUCCACGUCAUCGUCUGUCAAGCUAUUAAGAUUGCCCUAUUAGCUAUUUUGCCACAUCAUCGCAAUGUGAAAGCCACGUCAACCACUAAUAAGACACAAAUGUCUACAUCAUCAAAUAUGUCAAUUGGCCACAUCAGUUUGCCACAUCAUCAAACACGUCAACUAGCCAUGUUGCCAUACAUGUCAAUCUAUCCACAUCAAUUAGCCAUGUCAGUGACACGUUAGUUUGUCACAUUAGUCAGUCAGUAUUGCCAAACAUAUUAGUUUGUUACAUCAGCUUCCUGAUAUAUCACAUCAAUUUUUGAGCUUCUAUGUCAGCUUCUGUAUGCCAUAUCAGAUUCUAUACUAUUAUAUCAGCUUGAUAGAUCAGUCUACCAUAUCGGCUUCUGAGGUGCUUAAUCAACAUUUAAUCUGCCACAUCAGUUUUUGAGUUGCUAUAUUAGCUUCUAAUUUUCUAUGUCUGAUACUGUCACAUCAGCUUGACGCAUCAAUUUGCUAUAUCAGUUUUCUAGCUGCUACAUUAGCUU
rnacentral:lncRNA from 1 species